UUCGAUUCAAACUUGAUAUAAAAUGCGGGACUUUCCAUUAUGGUCAAUAUCCAUCCUGAAUAGGAGCAUCAUAUAUAUACACAUACAAAAGUGAUAUUUUCACAUUAUCUCUCUCACAUAAAUAAUGAGUUGAGUUAAGUCUUAAAUCGCAUACUUACAUAUAUAGGAUUCAACUAUCAAAUAAAAGAAGGGCAACAAUUUGGCUUAUCGAUUUAGAGCGAAUUAUGUUGAGCAGAGGCGUGCAUCGCACUGUCUCUAAGUAGAAAUUUCGCCCCUCGGAGAACUUUUCUCGUUGCUAAGGUCACUGACGAAAUCCUACUUCAGGGUCAACGACUUUUCACCCAACUAAUCAUCACUUGAAAUAGUUGAAUGACCCAGGAACAACUUCUAUUUUU
rnacentral:lncRNA from 1 species